GCUCCAGUAGCUCAGUGGUAGAGCGCGUUCUUGGUAAGAACGAGGUCGUGAGUUCGAUCCUCACCUGGAGCUCCA
rnacentral:tRNA from 1 species